rnacentral:lncRNA from 1 species
AGACGUGCGUGUCCCUUCCAACCCGAGACAGAACACGCGGGCAAGAAAUAAGCACACAAGGCUGUCAGACAUAUAAACAACAAAAUUAAAGAAGCAGUGCAUAAGGAGAAAGAGGCAAUUCUGUACUUGGUUUUCACUCAUCCAGAAUGGGCUUCUCCAGUGGACCUCACAGGUGUUCCCUCUCCAAGACACACUGACCUAUGUCUAAAGUGGAACCUCAGCUGCAGAGGGCCUGACUUGCAGAGCCAGCUUGACAGCCGUCUCUGGAAGAGAACAAAAGCAUUUGCCUUUUUCUUUCUACCUCCAGAUCAUUUACUCUCCAUGAAGACAUCUCACUCAAAGUACAUUUUCUAUGUCAGAAUGCAAUAGCAGGACUAUUUGCCUGCCCACGUUAAACUAGAAGGCAAGCCUGCACUUAAUCAGCAAAAAGAAGGCGGUGCUCCAAAGGCAGACCAUGUACUGACAGCACCUGAGACACUCCUCCUCUCAGUUCAUCGCCUCUUCCCAAUUUCUUCUUGACCUAGGCAGGUCAAGAGAGCAUCACCGGGGCUGGGUCACGAAUCUCUACCACUCCCAGUCAUGGGUUCUCCCAAGCUCCUCUCAACACCCAACAGAACCGGGGCCGAGGCAGCUGCUGCACACACACACACGAGGUGAUGCCUGGGAAGCCUCCUGGGGGACCAGUGAUCCUCAGCGGUGGGGAGCAGAUGGGAGGGGUGCUCUGCUCAGGGCAGGAAGGCAAGAGCCAGAACCACAGCGCUGCCGCUGCUCACCGCGGCCAGCCCAAGCAGCAGGGCUCCCUCCUCCCUGUCUGCCAGCCCUCCCCAACGCACUCGGUAAGGGCAAGGGCGUCCCGGGGAUCCGGUCACGAAUCGCUCAGACCUUCUAAGAGACCUUUAGAGGCUCUGGGUGCACAUCCCCGGCCGGAUCUGUGAUUUACAAACAUCUUCCCCCUUCCUGUGGUCGUCCUUUCUUGAUGGUGUCCUUUGUAGCACAAAGGUUUUUAAUUUUGAUCUUAGAAGCAACCUGAGAAAAAAGGGAGACUACCUUCAAAGGAGAGAUGGCCUGACAAGGAUGUCUUCACACAAAAAGAUGCUGACGCCAAGCAGAGGCUGACAUCAAAGUGCUGAAAGAACGGCACUGCCAACCAAGAGUUCUGCAACCAGCAAGCAUAUCCCCCAAGGGGCAGGGAAAACUAGUGCUUCCGGACAAACACAAGGGGCGGGUUCGCCACCAGCACACUCUAACCAGAGGAAUUUCUCAUGUACGUGCACUUCAAGGAGAAAAAGAGAUCCCAGAUGGGAAGUCUGAGAUGCAAAACGUAAAGGAAAGAGAGCGGCAAGUGUGUGCAAAUCUAACACAAAAUGUAAUCAGGCCGGGCAGAGUGGCUCACGCCUAUAAUCCAAACACUUUGGGAGGCCAAGGCACAAGGAUCACUUGAGUUCAGGAAUUUGAGACCAGCGUGAACAACAUGGUGAAACCCUGUACCUACAAAAAAAAAAACAGUAAUAAUCCAGCAAUGUCUUGUGAUAUUCAAAAGUAAAAAAGAAUUUAAAUACACAGGCUGGGUGUGGUGGCUCACGCCUGUAAUACCAGCACUUUGGGAGGCCAAGGUGGGCUGAUCACCUGAGGUCAGGAGUUCAAGAUCAGCCUGGCCAACAUGGAGAAACCCCGUCUCUACUAAAAAUACAAAAAUUAGCUGGGCAUGAUGGUGGGUGCCUGUAAUCCCAGCUACUCAGGAGGCUGAGGCAGGAGAAUUGCUUGAACCUAGGAGGCGGAGGCUGCAGUGAGCCAAGAUUGGCCCACUGCACUCCAGCCUGGGCGACAGAGCAAGACUCCGUCUUGGGGAAAAAAAAAGAAUUUAAAUACACAGUCUAUUAGUUGUAAGGGGCAUUAACGAAGGUAAGGAUGCUUGCAGGUCCUUGGAUAUUCCCGAGUGUAAAACGUACAGGUUAAUUGUAGAUUCGUUUAAUAAGAAUGUUGUGCUUGUGGGGAAACCAGUAAAAGAACAGAGUCUGUAACAUCCAAACUGGUGGAGGGCAGAAAAUGAAAGGAUCAAUAGUUGACUCAAAAAGAGCAAGAAAGGAGAAGGAAAGGAAAACAUCAGCACAGACCAAGAAAUCAACAAAAUAUAAGAUGGUAUAUUUCAACGCAAAUAUCUGCAGCUACAUUUAAAGUAAACCAAAUAAAUGAUCCAGUUAAAUUUUUUUAGUUGUCAGACUUAAAAAACCAACUGUCGCUCUCCCUCUCCCCUCUCCCCUCUUCUUUCUUUUUUCGGUCUCCCUCUGUUACCGAGGCUGGACUGUACUGCCCUGAUCUCAGCUCGCUGCAACCUCCCUGCCUGAUUCUCCUGCCUCAGCCUGCUGAGUGCCUGGGAUUGCAGGCGCGCGCCGCCAUGCCUGACUGGUUUUUGUAUUUUUGGUGGAGACGCCGUGUUGACCGGGCUGGUCUCCAGCUCCUGACCUCGAGUGAUCUGCCCGCCUCGGCCUCCCGAGGUGCUGGGAUUGCAGACGGAGUCUCGCUCACUCAAUACUCAAUGUUGCCCAGGCUGGAGUGCAGAGGCGUGAUCUCGGCUCGCUACAACCUCCACCUCCUAGCCGCCUGCCUUGGCCUCCCAAAGUGCUAAGAUUACAGCCUCUGCCCGGCUGCCACCCCGUCUAGGAAGUGAGGAGCGUCUCUGCCCAGCCGCCCCCUCUGGGAUGGGAGGAGCCCCUCUGCCCGGCCGCCCCGUCUGGGAUGUGAGGAGCGCCUCUGCCCGGCCGCCCCCUCUGGGAGGUGAGGAGCCCCUCUGCCCGGCCGCCCCGUCUGGGAUGUGAGGAGCGCCUCUGCCCGGCCGCCCCCUCUGGGAUGUGAGGAGCGCCUCUGCCCGGCCGCCCUGUCUGGGAACCCUUCUGCAGGUGUGCCUAACAGCUCCGAAGGGACAGCGACCAUCGAGAACAGGCCAUGAUGAUGACGGCGGUUUUGUCGAAUAGAAAAGGGGGAAAUGUGGGGAAAAGAAAGAGGGAUCAGAUUGUUACUGUGUCUGUGUAGAAAGAAGUAGACAUAGGAGACUCCAUUUUGUUCUGUACUAAGAAAAAUUCUUCUGCCUUGGGAUGCUGUUAAUCUAUAACCUUACCCCCAACCCCGUGCUCUCUGAAACAUGUGCUGUGUCCAC